rnacentral:rRNA from 1 species
GACGAACGCUGGCGGCGUGCUUAACACAUGCAAGUCGAACGGAAAGGCCUCUUUCGGGGGGUACCCGAGUGGCGAACGGGUGAGUAACACGUGAGUAACCUGCCCUUGACUUUGGGAUAACUUCAGGAAACUGGGGCUAAUACCGGAUAGGAGCUCCUGCUGCAUGGUGGGGGUUGGAAAGUUUCGGCGGUUGGGGAUGGACUCGCGGCUUAUCCGCUUGUUGGUGGGGUAGUGGCUUACCAAGGCUUUGACGGGUAGCCUGCCUGGGAGGGGGACCGGCCACAUUGGGACUGAGGUACGGCCCAGAAUCCUACGGGAGGCAGCAGUGGAGAAUAUUGCACAAUGGGUGGAAGCCUGAUGCAGCAACGCCGUGUUCGGGAUGACGGGCUUCGGGUUGUGAACCGCUUUCGCUCAUGACGAAGCUUUGAGUGACGGUAGUGGGUAAAGAAGCACCGGCUAACUACGUG